UAGGGAAUCUUCCGCAAUGGACGAAAGUCUGACGGAGCAACGCCGCGUGAGUGAAGAAGGCCUUCGGGUCGUAAAACGCUGUUGUCAGGGAAGAACAAGUGCCAAAGUAACUGUUGGCACCAUGACGGUACCUGACGAGAAAGCCACGGCUAACUACGUGCCAGCAGCCGCGGUAAUACGUAGGUGGCAAGCGUUGUCCGGAAUUAUUGGGCGUAAAGCGCGCGCAGGCGGCAUCUUAAGUCUGAUGUGAAAGCCCACGGCUCAACCGUGGAGGGUCAUUGGAAACUGGGAAGCUUGAGUGCAGAAGAGGAGAGUGGAAUUCCACGUGUAGCGGUGAAAUGCGUAGAGAUGUGGAGGAACACCAGUGGCGAAGGCGACUCUCUGGUCUGUAACUGACGCU
rnacentral:rRNA from 1 species